rnacentral:rRNA from 1 species
CUCGAAUACGGCCCGGGUUGUUGUCGAUGGAGAUUGGAUCAUGGCUUUCCGGGUACAGGGAAUUAGGGUUCGAUUCUGGAGAAGGAGCCUGAGAACGGCUACUACAUCUUACGGAAGGCAGCAGGCGCGUAGAGUACCCUUUCCUGACUCAGGGAGGUGGUGACAAGAUAUAAUGACGCUAUGAAAAAUAGUGAUUAUAGUGAGGGUAUUCCAAACCGAACCACAAGUACGAUUAGAGGGCAAGUCUGGUGCCAGCAGCCGCGGUAAUUCCAGCUCUAAUAGCGUAUAUUAAAGUUGCUGCAGUUAAAAAGCUCGUAGUUGGAUUUCAUGGAACACGUAUUCCCCCGGAAUAUGUGCCCUACUAGCCCUUUCGGCUGUUACUGUGAGAAAAUUAGAGUGUUUAAAGCAAGCUUUUGCAAGAUUACAUUAGCAUGGAAUAACGAAUGACCCCACCACCCCACGCCCACUCAGAUCUCGAUUAGUAGAGACAGUUGGGGGCAUUAGUCUCCAACUCGUCAGAGUGAAAUUCUUGGAUUUGUUAAGACUAACGUAUGCCGACAGCAUCUCGCCCACGCAUCGUUUUCAUUAUUCAGAACGAAAGAUAGGGGAUCAAAGACAUCAGAUACUGUCGUAGUCCUAUCUAUAACUAUGCCGACUAGGGAUUGAUUGGAAAUUCCCCAUUUCAGUACCUAUGAGAUAUCAAGUCUGGGUUCUGGGGGGAGUAUGGCCCAGACUGACUUAGAUUGACGAGAC